AGGGACCCUUUGGCUAGCAAAAUCGGCACCUAGUGUUACUAGAGAGGGCAUAACCGAUUUUUGAGUGCAAGAAGUAUUCUCUCAAGUUAUUCCAAGUUUUGUGGUGUUGUGUGAAGCAUUUGAGGCACAACAUUUGGGGUGCUAGGCUCACAAAGUCUUGAAGGAAUCCAAGCAACAACAAGGUAUGUAUUUCUACUAGUUUUAUGUUUUAUGUAAUCCCCAUGCCAUGCUAGUUAGGAUAUAACCUUGAAAAAGAAAUUUGCAUGUAUAUAGAGAAAACAUAGAUUCAAGGUUAUUAGGGUUGCAUGUACACUUAGGAAGUGUUAGAAUGCUCAAAACCCAUCAGUGGUAUCAGAGCCUAGGAUUGUUUUCUGUAUACUUGAUGCAAAACUGCUUGAAAAUCAAAAAUUCUGCUCACUGACGACUGGACUCGCCAAGUUUAUCAGGAGGACUCGCCGAGUCCAUGAACAAAUUCAUCCUACUCGUCGAGUAGGAUAAUGCACUCGACGAGUAGGAGCGUGUUGGGCAGCUUUUCGUGUUUUGUUGCUAGAAAUGGAUUAAAAUCAUUAUCCCAAUCUGUUUUGGACUUGUAAAAUCUGUUUUUCAAAAUGAUAAUGAUUAUGUUAACCCAUUUUACAUGACUUUUAUCAAUUUUCAAGUAUUGUAUAUGUUUAUAUGAUUUCUUGAAAUUGCUUGACAUGAAUUUGUGUUCUUAUGAGUUUUUAGAAGAUCAUAGGAAUUAUGUGUAACCUCCAUGUGUGUUUAAUUCAUGAUCUUAAUGGCAAUGAUGGUGUCCAUAACUUGUCCUCAAGUUAUGGAUAACCAAAAGUCACUUCUUUAAAUUGUGAUUAAAGAACUAAAGAGGUUUCAUAAAAUGAAGAGUCUUCAUUUUUAUGAACCAUUAAAACUCAUAAGUUACAAAUUGAAGAGACUUGGAAUAGUUUCAAUUCUUGCCCUCAAGUUUUGGAAUUUGAAAAGUCUUACACUCUAAUACUUUAAUUCCAAAUUAAACCUUAGAUUUUUAAAAAGUUUAAAAAUCAACACUUAUACUAUUAUUAUAAUUUUAUUAUAUAGAUAUGUAUAAGAAUAUGUCAUUCUUACCGUUAGUAGGCCUCAUUCACGAAGCCGGUCUAUAAGGGGGGUAUAAGGUUGUUGCCUAUAAAAUGGUGACUUAAUGGGUGUCCACUCUCACCCACCGCUUCCUUGAUCGGUGGAGGGUCGUUAGCCGAACGGGUAGGAUACGACUUUAAAUUCUCAUUAAAAGUAUAAUGAAUUAUAAAGUAACUAUACAUUAUAAAUUCCCAAUCUUAGUUACUUUAGGAAAAUGUGAAAUUGGUGCUAGCCCAUAAAAUUACACUUUGUACCUUACCAAGUCGUUAGUGGAGCGUGUGUGGUUAACCGGCACACUAACAUGGACUAGUAAGAGUGGCAAAGGGUAACUUGACUUUAUUAUAGAUCGGUGGAGCGUGUGUGGUUAACCGGCACAUCGAUUAGGUAAUAUUGUUAAGGGUACCAAGUCAAUUUGUAUGGUUAUUCACACCUUGUUUGUGAUCCUCGGCAUCCCAGUCACAAACUUGAGAGGGCACAAUCGAGAUUCAAACAUGCCAUUGAAAAGUUCAAUGUAUCUCAAAAGAUCUAGGAGUUUCAAAACCAAUAAAACCUAAUAAUAAAAUAUUUCGUUCUUAUGGUGGAAAUUGGUAAAUCGUCAUUUACCUACCUUCAAAUAUUUUAUAGUGUGGAUUACGACAUCCCUCUUCCACCUAUAAAUAGUUUGUUGGAUCCUAGCCUUAAUAUUUCAUUUGGGUGACUUAUUAAGGAUUCUUAAUCUAAUGAAACUUAUCCUCCUUUUAUUUCAGAUGACUUCCAAUAACGCUGCUGGCUCAAACCCUACAGGCUCCUUUUCCCUAAUGAACUUUUGUGGUAAGGUCAUCUUUGAUGGAUCCAACUUCAAUGAGUGGAUCAGAAACAUCAGGAUGAUUACCCACUAUGAGGACAAAGAAUAUGUCCUUAAUAGGGAGCUUAUGGUUGUUAAUAAAGCCACUGCUACUCCAGAAGAGCUUGCGGAGUUCAUUACACAAGAGAAGGAUGCCACCAAGGUGUCCUGCAUCAUGAUGGCCACAAUGACUCCGGAGCUCCAAAAAUCUUAUGAAGAUUUCUACCCCUAUGAGAUGCACGUGGAUCUGAUGGAAAGGUACCAUCAUAGCACGCGUCAAGAGAGGUAUGAAAUCAUUUCCUCCAUGAUAACCGCAAGGAUGAAGGAUGGUGAACCCAUCACCGGUCACUUGCAGAAGAUGCAAAGGUUUGUUAACCGGUUGCUGAAGCUAAAUGUUGACUUCCCUGAGGAAAUGGCGAUUGACAUCAUUCUCCAUUCCUUACCUCCAAGUUAUGAUCAGUUUCGUNUAUGACUUAUCAUAUGAACAAGGAGGAAGUCAGACUUAGCAAACUUCAAGGACUCUUAAGGACAGCUGAAGAUGGCCUUAAGGGUAAAGCAGUUUCCACUUCUACUCUUACAACAGCCCCUGUUCUGGCUAUUGUGCAGGGAAAGGGUAAGAAGAGGAAAAGCCCUUCGAAGGGUACCAAGGGUAAGACUCUUGAUGGUUCCUCUUCAAGUGGGACAAAGAAAGGUCCCAUUGCUCCUUCUUCAAACCCAAAGGAAGCACAGUGCUUCUAUUGCCAGGAUAAGGGACACUUCAAGCGAAGCUGCGCCAAAUAUCUGCAAGAUGUAAAGGAUGGGAAGGUUAAACCCACCCAUGCAGGUAUUUACACAAUAUUGUCUAACAACUCAUCUAAUUCUAAUUCUUGAGUGCUUGAUACAGGUUGUGGUAUUCACAUUUGCACUGAUUUGCAGGCACUAAGAAGAAGUGAGCAAGUGGAGCACGGGAAGAUAAACUUAGUCAUGGGCAACAGGAAAGCAUCACCUGUUACCAAGAUAGGAGUUUAUUCUUUAUUGCUUAAUAAUGGGUUAAUGUUAGAUUUGAAUAAGUGUUGUUACUCGCCCGAAAUGGCGAGAAAUAUUAUUUCUUUUCAUGGCUUGUACAAACAAGGUUUUACAUUUUCAUUUGAUAAUAAAAAUGGUGCUAUUAAUGUUUAUUACAAUGAUGUAUUUUACUUUAAAGCAAUACCUUGUGAUGGUGUAUAUGAAGCUGUGAAUGUUGUAGACAAUUUAGGAAAUAAUGUGUUGUAUAUUGAUUCUUCUGAUAGCUUGGAUAAAGCAUCCUUGUGGCAUUGUCGUCUUGGACAUUUUAACAAGAAGCGCAUAGGCCAACUCCAAAAGGCUGGAGUGUUGGAAUCAUUUCACCUCAAGUAAGAUGAUAGUUGCGAGUCUUGUUUACUUGGAAAAAUGACAAAGUCACCUUUCACAUGUACUUGUGAUAGGGGUGAAGGUUUGUUGGACCUUGUACACACGGAUGUGUGUGGGCCCUUCAGAGUUGCUACAAGGGAUGCUAAUCGUUAUUAUGUGACUUUUACUGAUGAUUACAGUAGAUAUGGAUAUAUUUACUUAAUCAAGCAUAAGUCAGAAACCUUUGAAAAGUUCAAAGAGUUUAAGCAGGAAGUUGAGAAUCAAUUGGGCAGGAACAUCAAGAUGCUCCGAUCCGAUCGGGGAGGAGAGUAUCUUAGCAUUGAGUUCCUUGACUAUCUUAAGGAAUGUGGGAUUGUCUCACAAUUGACACCUCCCAGGACACCACAGUUGAAUGGUGUGGCUGAGAGGCGCAAUCGAACCUUGUUGGAUAUGGUUCGUUCCAUGAUGAGUCGAGCUUCGUUACCAAUCUCUUUCUGGGGGUAUGCCUUAGAGACUGCCGCCCAUAUCCUUAAUCUAGUCCCUACUAAAAAGGUUGCCAAAACACCUCACGAGAUGUGGACUGGGAAAGUGCCCAAUUUGGACCACAUCAAGAUUUGGGGUUGUGAAGCUUUUGUGAGGCGUGAGACUCAUGACAAGCUUGAGCCCCGAAGCGAGAGGUGUAUUUUCAUCGGCUACCCACAGAGAUCCUUUGGUUACCUCUUCUACAGACCCAGUGAUAAUGUGGUCUUUGUAGCAAGAAGAGGAGUCUUUCGUGAGAGAAAAUUCAUAAGCCAAGGGGAUAGUGGGAGGAAAAUUGACCUUGAAGAGCUUCAAGAGUCAAGUGGUGAAGGAACCUCAAAUGCUGUCAGCCAACCUGAGGAGGAAACUCCUGUUGAGCUGAUAGAUGAGUCUGUACCUCCAAGACGUUCCACUAGGGUGAGGAACACACCUGAAUUUUAUUAUGGUUAUCACAUCACCACUGAAGGUGAUACAUUUAUCAGUGAUAGUACACUGAUAGAUUUGGAUGAACCUAAUAAUUAUAAGGAAGCCAUGGCAGGCCCUGAGUCUGCGAAAUGGAAGGAGGCUAUGGACAGCGAGAUUCAGUCCAUGUAUGACAAUCAAGUUUGGAACUUGGUUGACAAUGUACCAGGUCGUAAGACAGUUGGGUGCAAAUGGAUCUUCAAGAAGAAGACCGACAUGGAUGGGAAAGUACACACUUAUAAAGCGCGACUGGUUGCGAAGGGCUUUACUCAAACUCCGGGAGUUGACUAUGAUGAGACCUUCUCACCAGUAGCUAAGAUUAAGUCUAUUAGAGUGUUGUUAGCCAUAGCUGCAUUUCAUGACUAUGAAAUAUGGCAAAUGGAUGUCAAAACCGCUUUCCUUAAUGGGAAGCUAGCUGAGGAUGUUUACAUGGCUCAGCCAGAGGGUUUUGUUGAUCCAAAAUACCCUAAUAGAGUGUGUGAGCUUGAAAAAUCCAUUUACGGAUUGAAACAAGUAUCUCGCGGGUGGAAUCUUUGCUUUGAUGAAAAAGUCAAAGAGUUUGGCGUUUCUAGGAGUGAGGAUGAGUCUUCUGUGUAUGUCAGGGCUAGUGGGAGCAUAGUUAGCUUCUUGGUGUUGUAUGUGGAUGACAUACUUCUCAUAGGAAACGACGUCCCAACCUUGCAGGAGGUUAAGGCCUGGCUUGGGAAGUGUUUUGCUAUGAAGGACCUUGGGGAAGCUGCCUAUAUCCUAGGGAUAAGGAUAUUGAGAGAUAGGAGUAAGAGACUAAUUGGACUUAGUCAAAGUACUUAUGUGGAUAAGGUACUGAAGAGGUUCAGUAUGCAAGAUUCCAAGAAAGGAGAAUUACCAAUCCAGAGUAAUGCCAAGCUAAGUAAGACUCAGAGUCCGAGUACAGAGGCUGAGAUAGCUGAGAUGAGUUAAAUACCAUAUGCUUCUGCUAUGGGCUCGAUCAUGUAUGCUAUGACUUGUACUCUCCCUGAUGUGGCCUUCGCUUUGAGCAUGGUCAGUAGAUAUCAAGGGAACCCUGGCAAGGCACACUGGACAGCAGUAAAGAACAUUCUCAAGUAUUUGCGGAGGACUAAGGACUGGGUCCUUACCCUCGGAGGCAGUGAUGACUUGAGAGUGGAAGGAUAUAGUGAUGCUAGCUUUCAAACUGAUAGGGAUAAUUUCCGCUCUCAGUCAGGCUGGGUCUUUAUCCUAAAUGGAGGAGCAAUUACUUGGAAAAGUUCCAAGCAGGAGACAGUAGCUGAUUCAACUUGUGAAUCAGAGUACAUAGCAGCAAGCGAGGCAGCAAAAGAGGCGAUAUGGCUAAAGAACUUCAUCGGAGACCUUGGAGUUGUACCAGCUAUAAAGGAGCCAAUGGAAAUUUUCUGUGACAGUGAAAGUGCGGUUGCUUUGGCUAAAGAACCAAGAGAUCACGGGAGAUCUAGGCACAUUGACAGAAAAUACCAUUUCAUCAGACAUAGAAUAGAAGAAGGACUCCUCGUGGCAAAGAGGGUAUCAUCAGAUGAGAACCCGGCAGAUCCCCUCACGAAGGGACUGAGCAGGGUUAAGCAUUUACAGCAUGCAAGGCGCAUUGGGCUGAAGGAUGAUAUUAGUUUCAAUAAUUAGAUUCCUGAAACUUGUAAAAUGUAAUUGACAUUUGAUGAUAAAUAAAAGUUGUUAUUUAUUUAUGAGUAAGGUGUUACUAUCUUGUGUUGAUUGUUUACUAUGUUUCAAUUUUGCAUGUUUUUACUUCCAGAAUAAUUAUGUUAUGGUAUAUAUCAUAUUAUUCAAACCAUCCACAGUCGGUCAAACUUUGGAAGUAAGUAUUGAUUCAAGACUGUCAUGAAUUUGGCUUGUAUGAUUUGUCUAAAGUGCUUUAGACAAUGCAAUGGUUGCUACAACAUUCAUGAGUACUCAUAAGGGCUGAGUAUUGGAUUCAACCCACGCUCACUUGCAUCACUUCAUGGAAUUUAUCUCGAGUGAUCGUGAGACGGUAAUAUCAUAUAAAUCUUCAAACCUAGAGAUAUGAGUUGUUGACUAUGAGUUGGUUAUUCAUUGAUUGUACGAAAACGCAUUGGUAACUCGAUGUUAUAAAACGUGCCUUUGUGAGUAAUUCAACAAGUAGUUAGUACAAGCAUAUCAGUCGAAGUUUAUCUGUUCCUUCUAGAAAUAGAAGCGAUAUCUGGGCCCCUCGAUGAUUUGGUUUUGACCUAUGUACCGGGCCCGGUCAGAACCUAAUUGAUGUGUUCAAUUUAGUUCUAUGUCGAAACAAAUCGGAGAUCGAGAAACAAAUGCUGGACAAUAAGUAAGACCAUGUUCCAUGUGUUUGUCCGGCUGAUAUCAUGAGAGCAGAGGAUUAUAUGAUCACUUAUCUUAAAUGGCGUAUCAUCAUCAUCUCAGUUCCGAGAGACUUUGAAAGAGCUACGAUUGCUAGUCGGAUUUUGAAGUCAUAUUUGCAAAUAUAGUUAUUAGACUUAUCCAAGUGGGAGACUGUUGGAUAUAGUGUCUAAGUCCAUAACUUUAUUUGGUAUGUACUUGACACGACCCAGCAUGGUCCAUUUGGGUUGCAUAGCAUUGCAAUACUUGGAUAGGCUAAACGAGAGAAUAAGGCACUUAUGAUUACUAAUAUAUUAUAAGUUAUAAUAUAUUAAUAAUAGUAUUAUUUAAUUAGUAUUGAUCAAGUAUUAAUCUAGUAUUAAUUUGGUGAUCAAAGUGAGACUAAUUAAAUAUAUAAGGGUUGAUUAUGACAAUCAUCAAUUCUUUUAUGGUGGAUUAAUGAUCCAUGGUUUAUGGGCUAUGGAUGUAACCAUUUGGAGCUCCAUGGAUAGUCCAUGAGAGUUACAAACCCAUGGGUCAUGAGAAAUGAAGAGUCAUGACAAUUAUGGGUCUUCUUAAUGAAACCCUAAUUGUGACACCACUAUAAAAGGAACCCUUUGGCUAGCAAAAUCGUGACCUAGUGUUACUAGAGAGGGCAUAACCGAUUUUGAGUGCUAGAAGUAUUCUCUCAAGUUAUUCCAAGUUUUGUGGUGUUGUGUGAAGCAUUUGAGGCACAACAUUUGGGGUGCUAGGCUCACAAAGUCUUGAAGGAAUCCAAGCAACAACAAGGUAUGUAUUUCUACUAGUUUUAUAUUUUAUGUAAUCCCCAUGCCAUGCUAGUUAGGAUAUAACCUUGAAAAAGAAAUUUGCAUGUAUAUAGAGAAAACAUAGAUUCAAGGUUAUUAGGGUUGCAUGUACACUUAGGAAGUGUUAGAAUGCUCAAAACCCAUCAAUAACUACAUUCGUGGUUGUAAAACCGUUAAGGAUAUAUGGAAUACUCUCAAGGAAACGUAUCAAGGAAGCAAGAAGACUAAGAUCAAUUCUAUUAAGCAAUGUUUGGUUGAGCUGAAAGAGUUCAAACAUAAUGAAACUAAAACAAUUGAAGUGUCUGAGAUAAUGGAAGAAGCGAAACAGAGUUUAGGAGGACCACUAGCUUUGGUUUCGAAAGUGUCUGAGGUGGAGUUUGCUGAAAAGGAGAAUUCAGAUGAAGAAGGUUUCCUCUUGAAUUCUGAUGAUGAAGCUAUUGCUUUUUAUUCGAAUAAUCGAGUUAAGAAGUUUUUCAAAAAGCCUUUUAAUUCUAAAGGAAAGCAGAGUGAGAUGAAAGGAAAGCUUACGAAGUCUGGUGUAGAAGAGAAAAAGAACUUUGAAAAG
rnacentral:lncRNA from 1 species